AAUGUUUACACGAUGCUCAACUGCACGAUUUAAGAAACUCUGCAACCGUUUACCAGAGGAAAAAAUACAAGCCAUAAGAGACCUCCAAUUUGGAGGUCUCUUAAACUUAAAUUGCACAGAGGUGCGCCACAACAUCUGUAUCUUUCUAAUCCAACAUUUCAAUGUUGGAUUUAGACGGAUAGAGUUCUCAGCUUAGAAACACUAUCCUGUUACAGCCAUCAAUGUUGGCCUCAUUUUCGGCCUCCCAACAGAAGGGCGGAUUCUGCAGGUGACCUUUACAUCAUCAGAGCAUCCAUUUAGGACUAUUCGGGCAUGCAAGGAGAAACUCCUGAACUUACCUGUAGGCGAGGAGUUUCGUAGAGCAUUCAUUUACUACGCAUGUGCCACAUUGUUGGCCCCCACGUCUAGGCUCAAUGGUUGCCGUAACUUGUGGCAUACCAUCCAUGAGGAUGGAUUCUGAAAUGACGUUAAUUGGGCCUAGUUUGUGCUUGACCAACUGGUUAAGGGAAUUAGGCGAUACCAACAGUCUAACACCUCUUGGGUACAUGGCUGUGUUUUAUUUCUACAGCUGCAUUAUGUCAUUAAAUUCCAAAUUCCUUCAGUUCAAGUCCCCAUUAUAGUGCCCCUAGCAUUGACAUGGACUGAUGAUUUGAUUAAGCGGCGACUAGUCGUUAAGAUAAAGGAGUUUGGAGCAUUCGGACAUGCUGAGGUUGAUUUUGCGUCCUAGAGAUCUCCAACUGUAGAAAGAACUAUGGAGGUAGAGACUAAUGUGGACCAUGACACAAAUGUUGAUGCUGAAAAUAGUGAUGAAAAAUGACAUCAAUAUCAUGAUGCGGAACGAGCAAUCGACCAAUAUCAAUGGGGCAUUCAGUAGCAGCUGAGAAUAAUGCGUGGCCUUAUGCAUAAGUUAGGGGCUCGAAGACAUAGUGGGGUAAAUUCAGAUGCUGGUGGUCACUCUGGCGAUGCACCAGCCAACACUCCCACAGUCGAUGACCAUGCAUUUCUUGGUGAUGAGUACAUGGCUUCACAUGCUGCAGACCAUGUGAUAGACACACCAGAUCGCGUUGUUGCCCCUGAGUUUGAGUUGCAGCCCAGUGUACCCAUUAAUGUAGUAAGCGAUGGUGAAGAAGAACCAAAAGGUAAUGUUGUCCCCACAAAUAGGAACGUCUAGAGACGACGAGUGCGUUGAAUGGCUCCAAACCUGUUGUCCCCAUACAUAUCCCAACCACAAACUAAACAAUCUGCCAUCAGAAUGGACUUAAAACAAGCAGCUGCACUGGUAUUUAGAGAGGAUUUGGAUGCUAGGUCGUCGAUGCCUACUGUAGAUUGUUGCAGUAUGAACAUAAACCGAAGACGAAACUGUUUCUAUCCCCCUACAUAGCUGAAAUGGUAAUCCACUCCUAGGCAAAACACUUAGUGAGGGAGGCAGUUAUAGGACGCUUUGAACCACAUGUGUAUCAGAUGGAUAUUCCAUAUGUCAAUGUUAACAAGGUGGAUUCCUGUGUUUAAUGCUUGGAUUUGUAUUUUUAUUGCAUGAAGGUACAAUAUUUAAAUGUAUGUUUAAUGGCAGUCUAUUGGUGUAGGUCUUCUUACCGGUUCUCAUAAAGAACCAUUGGACACUGUGCAUAUAUGACCUAUCAAACAAGAGAAUCCAAUUGCUAGAUUCUUGUCCUGGUAGGAAGAAGACAACUUUGAGUGGAAUUCAACAAAAUUUGGCUAAGGUUGUCCUAUGGUUGGCUGCACAAAAAAAAAAGAGGUAUCACCUUAUGAUUUGAGGACAUUCAAUUUCCUAACACCUGAUGUACCUCUCCAACCUAAUGAGCACGAUUGCGGAGUUUUUGUAAUGAAAUUCAUGGAGUUGUGGUCAAUGGGCAGGUUCUCCAAAUCAAUCGAUGUGGGGAAAUUGAAACAUUAUAGGUUGAAGAUUAUGGGGAGUAUGUUGUUUUCAGCACAAAAUGCACACCAAGACCGUGUCUGAAUGGAUUAAUGGGGAUUGUAAUUUGUGACGAGACUGUAUAAAGUUAGCACAUUUGUAUGUAAUUUAUGGUGGACAAACGUACUUCUUUAAAUGUUUUUUUAUGGUGCCACAUGCGGAAAUGAACACUGGGAUUAUGGGAUUAGUAGGAGUUUGACUGCUUUUUGACUUAAGUUGAUUGUCAUUGCAUUGUAAGUAAACAGGGAGAAUUAAAUAUUAUUAGAAUGAA